rnacentral:misc_RNA from 1 species
AACUUUCGACAAUGGAUCACUUGGCUCUCGCAUCGAUGAAGAACGCAGCGAAAUGCGAUAAGUAAUGUGAAUUGCAGAAUCAGUGAAUCAUCGAAUCUUUGAACGCAUCUUGCGCUCCUUGGUAUUCCGAGGAGCAUGCCUGUUUGAGUGUCAUUAAAUUCUCAACUACACUGAUAUUGUUGGUGUGGGUUGGAUUUGGGGGUUCUUUGCGGGCUUUGUAAAUAAAGUUGGCUCCCCUAAAAUUGAUUAGCGGUACCUCAGUAGAACCAUCUACAGGUGUGAUAACUUAUCUACACCUUAGAUGUCUGCAUGAAAAGGUCAUGCUGCUUUCUAACCCUCACUCCUUAUUUGGAGCACUAAUGACAAUCUUGACCUCAAAUCAGGUAGGACUACCCGCUGAACUUAAGCAUAUCAAUAAGCGGAGGCU